rnacentral:ncRNA from 1 species
CAACCUCUGGCGAAAGACGUGGAUGUUG